AGACGGAGUCCCGCUCUGUCACGCAGGCUGCCAGGCUGGCGUACAGUGGCGCAAUCUCAGCUCGCUGCAACCUCCACCUCCUGGGUUCAAGCGAUUUUCUUGCCUCUGCCUCCUGAGUAGCUGGGAUUACUGGCACACACCACCAUGCACAGGGUCCAGCCUGCAAUAACUGAAGCCCCCAGACCUGGAACCUGAAGAUCCCAUCAGCCACUAAACCUGUGAACCUGUAGAAGACCUGAAGUACCUGUUUAAAAGGCAGCCAAAAGAUAAGUAAAUUCCUAUCAACUUUCCUUGGUGUCCUUCUUGUAUAUUUACUGUAAGCUGGAUAUAAUAGUAGCCAUUUUUAUAUUUUUACAAUUUAAUUGCUUUCUUCCAAAUGGAUUGAAUCACUUCUUUUAAAGUGUUUUAAUUAAUUUUUAUCUAUAGAACAAAAUAACAAAUAAGUAUUUUUUUUUUAUACCAUAAUGGUCACCCACAGCCUGUGUAUACUAAGACCAUGCAUACUGAUAAUCAGCUUUAUUUUACAAAAGAGUUUCGCUUUACCCCUCUGGUAAUUAAUGGAUUCUGGGUAUUUAUUAAAAACUUUAACACAAAGACUGUUAAAUACCACCAGUCCAGCUUUGGCAAGGCACUGUUGGCUUUGUUUAUCUCCAUCAUCAUCCAAACAGACUACCAAUCCUGAUCCCAGCCCAAUCUUGGGCCCUUGAAAAAAUAACUUAACAUCCUAACUACAAGGGAGAAACUCCUUUCAAAUUAAUGAACCUGGCUGACUUAUAUAGCCUUAAAAUUAUGGAAAUGACAAGGGUUACAAUGUCAGAAUGAGCAGUAAACCUUCCCCAGUCCUAUCAGAGCAAACUUUCUGGGGUUGCAUCCCCUCAGAAACCCAUUUGGGGCCCAAUCUCAAUGCACAUAUCAGUGCGCAAAGCACUAAAAUUCCAGGCAACACUUUGUAUUGAGAGAAGCCAAAAUUUUGGUCCCGCCCUGGGACAUCUAAAGUCACCAAUGUAACUACACCAUACAGAUUAAACCCUCACAUGAUCAUGUAAGCUAUGCAGUUACCCAAGCUGCAUCAUUUAGAAAACCUGUACAGUUUUUAUGGAAACCAUCCCUAGUCAAGGACACUUUAAAUAUAUAGUCUAAAUACCGUUAAGGUAGGCCCACUAGCUGUGUUCACAUUUUCCCUUGGCCACCUUACCAGGGACUUUAAUAACUUGGGAAAGUGAAAACAACAAGCUAACCCACAUGUUCACCAUAGAAAACAAUUUUGUCUUGAAAAACAAGGACUCUUUUUCCCGUGUGGGACCAGUUCCUACUUAUGUUUUACCAGCCAAUUGGACUGGAACCUAUACAGUUGUUUAUUUAGCCCCCGAAAUUAAUAUAGCUCCCAACAACCAAUCCUUCAUUAUACUUUUAACUGCAACCACCAGACACAAAUGAGCCAUCCAACUGAUACCACUUUCGGUAGAGCUAGGAAUAACAGCAGGAGUAGGAAUGAGAGUUAGCAGCCUUGCAGUUUCCCUAUCCUAUUACCAAUGCUUGUCCAAGGAUUUUAUGGAAAGCUUAGGUGACAUUGCCCAAAAGUAUCAUCACCUUACAAAAUCAGAUAGAGUCUUUGGCAGUGGUGGCUUUGUAAAAUAGAAGGGGACUGGAUCUCCUAAAUGCUGAAGAAGGUGGCUUAUGUCUUUUUCCUAGAGGAAGAAUGCUGUUUUUAUGUCAACCAAACAGGAUUAGUAAGGGAUGCCACCCAAAAACUAGCCGAUUGGUACCAUAAGAUAUGACAACAGCUGUCUGAGUCAUGGGGCGCCUAGUCAAAAUGCUAAUUUGGGGCUCACAUCUCCUUCCUCUGGCCAGUCCACUAUUAAUUAUUAUACUUGCCUUGGCUUUUGGAUCAUGUUUGUUAAAUCUUUUAACCAGAUUUAUUUCUUCUUGCCUAGAGACCAUUAUGAUAAUGCAGCAGGGCCACCAGUCAGUUUCAGAUAAUGAUGUCAACCCCGGCCACCAAGAAGUAACCUUGUCUCCACUAGACAGAGCAGGUUGCAGGAAUUUAGCCAAUUCAGAGGUCUUGUUCUCCAUAAUUUGGAAUUUUCCUUCGGAUUUGAUCAAGUUGGAUAGAGUUGGUCAAACCCAAUGGGAAAAAGAUGAAAACAACAAGAAACAGAAACAAACAGCAACAACAACAACAACAAAAACAAUGCAUUUAAUUAAAUGAAGAUGAGCUCAUGCUGGAGUAGGGUGGACUCUGAACCCAGUGGGACAAGCGUCCUUAUUAAGAAGAGGGAAAUCUGGACACACACAGAGCAGAGACCGCCGUGUGAAGAUGGAGGCAGAGAUCGGAGAGAUGCUGCCACACGCCACAAAUGCCUGGGGCUCCCAGAAACUACACGGAGCCUCCCCCAGCGGCUUCAGCAGGAGCAUGGCUCGGCCAACACUUU
rnacentral:lncRNA from 1 species